GUCCCGCUGGUCUAGGGGUUAUGAUCCUCCCUUAGGGGUAUUAAACAUCCUACUUUGAUGGGAGGGGUGCUGUGUUCGAGUCACAGGUGGGACC